CAAAUUCGAAUCAAUUUUGAACCAAAAAUCAGAAAUUCGAGACAGUAGACCUAAGCUGGUUGCUGGAUCACCUGAAGGAUACUCUGGACAUGUUGAUGGGAAGUACAGGGAAGCGAGGUUAAACCAUCCGAAAGGUGUUGCUGUUGAUGACAGGGGGAAUAUUUAUGUCGCGAAUACUAUGAAUAUGGCAAUCAGGAAGAUUAGUGAUCCAAGUAUUUCGGAGACUCGUGUAUGCUACAUUGAGUAGAUUAUUGCCAAAUUGUCCAUUGAGGAUAUGAAAAACACAUUGGAAUUAGGAUGGAACGAUAAUUCGUGUGAUUGAACUCCUUUCCAUUUGGAAAUAGUCUUGUAUGAAGCUGAUAAUAGGAUGGUAGAUUGAAGAGCUUAUAAUAGCAAAGAGCUUAUAAUAAUUAAAUGUCCUGAUUUAUUAGUAGAAUGUGAUAUUUUUCAAUCCUGUUUCUACUGAAUGAUUAUGGGAUGAGCUCAAAGCUGACUUGUUAAGUGCAGAGUAUCUAGACUAAUCGUACUAUAUGUUUCAAGAGUCACAACAAUUGCUGGUGGGAAAUGGAGUAACAGAGGUGGUCAUGUUGAUGGACCGAGUGAUGAAGCAAAGUUCUCCAAUGACUUUGAUGUUGUCUAUGUUGGAAGCAGUUGUUCCUUGCCGGUCAUUGAUAGGGGGAAUCGGGCAAUCAGGGAAAUUCAUCAAGAAAGUUUGGAGGAAAAACUAGGAAAUAAAUUUCCAAUGCUAAAAUCUUGCUCUCAAGAAAACUUACAAAAAGCAGGCAGAUCACAUGCUUUAGUAUCUAUACUAAAGGAAAACUCAUCUUUAAUACAUAACCCUAAGGUAUUUCUA